rnacentral:rRNA from 1 species
GCUGAGGAUACGGUUAACGGAGCGAAAGCGACGUUCAACCGCAAAACAAGCAGAGGGGGCUUAGUGGUGGGGUGACUGCGUACCUUUUGUAUAAUGGGUCAGCGACUUAUAUUCUGUAGCAAGGUUAACCGUAUAGGGGAGCCGGAGGGAAACCGAGUCUUAACCGGGCGUUAAGUUGCAGGGUAUAGACCCGAAACCCGGUGAUCUAGCCAUGGGCAGGUUGAAGGUUGGGUAACACUAACUGGAGGACCGAACCGACUAAUGUUGAAAAAUUAGCGGAUGACCUGUGGCUGGGGGUGAAAGGCCAAUCAAACCGGGAGAUAGCUGGUUCUCCCCGAAAGCUAUUUAGGUAGCGCCUCGUGAAUUCAUCUCCGGGGGUAGAGCACUGUUUCGGCUAGGGGGCCAUCCCGGCUUACCAACCCGAUGCAAACUGCGAAUACCGGAGAAUGUUAUCACGGGAGACACACGGCGGGUGCUAACGUCCGUCGUGAAGAGGGAAACAACCCAGACCGCCAGCUAAGGUCCCAAAGUCAUGGUUAAGUGGGAAACGAUGUGGGAAGGCCCAGACAGCCAGGAUGUUGGCUUAGAAGCAGCCAUCAUUUAAAGAAAGCGUAAUAGCUCACUGGUCGAGUCGGCCUGCGCGGAAGAUGUAACGGGGCUAAACCAUGCACCGAAGCUGCGGCAGCGAACGUAUCACCCAAGACAACUUUACGGAGUUGACGAUUGACGGAGCGAAGCGACGUCAAAGCGUUCAUUAAAGUCGAGUUGGCUUAGGGAUACGUUCGUUGGGUAGGGGAGCGUUCUGUAAGCCUGUGAAGGUGUGUCGUGAGGCAUGCUGGAGGUAUCAGAAGUGCGAAUGCUGACAUAAGUAACGAUAAAGCGGGUGAAAAGCCCGCUCGCCGGAAGACCAAGGGUUCCUGUCCAACGUUAAUCGGGGCAGGGUGAGUCGACCCCUAAGGCGAGGCCGAAAGGCGUAGUCGAUGGGAAACGGGUUAAUAUUCCCGUACUUGGUGUUACUGCGAAGGGGGGACGGAGAAGGCUAUGUUGGCCGGGCGACGGUUGUCCCGGUUUAAGCGUGUAGGUGUGUGUUCCAGGUAAAUCCGGUUCACUUUAACACUGAGGCGUGACGACGAGGCACUACGGUGCUGAAGCAACAAAUGCCCUGCUUCCAGGAAAAGCCUCUAAGCAUCAGGUAACACGAAAUCGUACCCCAAACCGACACAGGUGGUCAGGUAGAGAAUACCAAGGCGCUUGAGAGAACUCGGGUGAAGGAACUAGGCAAAAUGGUGCCGUAACUUCGGGAGAAGGCACGCUGACACGUAGGUGAAGUGAUUUACUCAUGGAGCUGAAGUCAGUCGAAGAUACCAGCUGGCUGCAACUGUUUAUUAAAAACACAGCACUGUGCAAACACGAAAGUGGACGUAUACGGUGUGACGCCUGCCCGGUGCCGGAA